rnacentral:rRNA from 1 species
UACGUAGGGAGCGAGCGUUGUCCGGAAUUAUUGGGCGUAAAGCGCGUGUAGGCGGUCCAGUUAGUCGGAUGUGAAAGCCCCAAGCUCAACUUGGGAACUGCAUCCGAUACUGCUGGACUUGAGGUAGGCAGGGGAGAGUGGAAUUCCUGGUGUAGCGGUGGAAUGCGCAGAUAUCAGGAGGAACACCUAUGGCGAAGGCAGCUCUCUGGGCCUCACCUGACGCUGAGACGCGAAAGCGUGGGUAGCAAACAGG